rnacentral:rRNA from 1 species
GACGAACGCUGGCGGCGUGCUUAACACAUGCAAGUCGAACGGUAAGGCCCUUCGGGGUACACGAGUGGCGAACGGGUGAGUAACACGUGGGUGAUCUGCCCUGCACUUCGGGAUAAGCCUGGGAGACUGGGUCUAAUACCGGAUAGGACCACUGCCUGCAUGGGUGGUGGUGGAAAGCUUUUGCGGUGUGGGAUGGGCCCGCGGCCUAUCAGCUUGUUGGUGGGGGGAUGGCCUACCAAGGCGACGACGGGUAGCCGGCCUGAGAGGGGAACCGGCCACCCUGGGACUGAGAUACGGGCCAGACUCGUACGGGAGGCAGCAGUGGGGAAUAUUGCACAAUGGGCGCAAGCCUGAUGCAGCGACGCCGCGUGAGGGAUGACGGCCUUCGGGCUGUAAACCUCUUUCAGCACCGACGAAGCGCAAGUGACGGUAGGUGCAGAAGAAGGACCGGCCAACUACGUGCCAGCCGCCGCAGUAA